rnacentral:rRNA from 1 species
UACAGAGGUCUCAAGCGUUGUUCGGAAUUACUGGGCGUAAAGGGCUGGUAGGCGGCCAACUAAGUCGGAUGUGAAAUCCCCAGGCUUAACCUGGGAACUGCAUCCGAUACUGGUCGGCUUGAAUCCGGGAGAGGGAUGCAGAAUUCCAGGUGUAGCGGUGAAAUGCGUAGAUAUCUGGAGGAAUACCGGUGGCGAAAGCGACUCUCUGGACGGCAACUGACGCUGAGGCACGAAAGCGUGGGGAGCAAACAGG